AUAGCUUGCUAUUUUUAUGAAGAGCGGCGAACGGGUGAGUAACGCGUGGGAAAUCUGCCGAGUAGCGGGGGACAACGUUUGGAAACGAACGCUAAUACCGCAUAACAAUGAGAAUCGCAUGAUUCUUAUUUAAAAGAAGCAAUUGCUUCACUACUUGAUGAUCCCGCGUUGUAUUAGCUAGUUGGUAGUGUAAAGGACUACCAAGGCGAUGAUACAUAGCCGACCUGAGAGGGUGAUCGGCCACACUGGGACUGAGACACGGCCCAGACUCCUACGGGAGGCAGCAGUAGGGAAUCUUCGGCAAUGGGGGCAACCCUGACCGAGCAACGCCGCGUGAGUGAAGAAGGUUUUCGGAUCGUAAAACUCUGUUGUUAGAGAAGAACGUUAAGUAGAGUGGAAAAUUACUUAAGUGACGGUAUCUAACCAGAAAGGGACGGCUAACUACGUGCCAGCAGCCGCGGUAAUACGUAGGUCCCAAGCGUUGUCCGGAUUUAUUGGGCGUAAAGCGAGCGCAGGUGGUUUCUUAAGUCUGAUGUAAAAGGCAGUGGCUCAACCAUUGUGUGCAUUGGAAACUGGGAGACUUGAGUGCAGGAGAGGAGAGUGGAAUUCCAUGGGUA
rnacentral:rRNA from 1 species